UUCCAGCUCCAAUAGCGUAUAUUAAAGUUGUUGCAGUUAAAAAGCUCGUAGUUGAAUUUCGGGGUUAGUAGGUUGGUCAUGCCUCUGGUAUGUACUGAUCUCACUGAUUCCUCCUUCCUUAUGAACCGUAAUGCCAUUAAUUUGGUGUUGCGGGGAAUUUGGACUGUUACUUUGAAAAAAUUAGAGUGUUUAAAGCAGGCUAACGCUUGAAUACAUUAGCAUGGAAUAAUGAAAUAGGACGUUCGAUCUUAUUUUGUUGGUUUCUAGGAUUGACGUAAUGAUUAAUAGGGAUAGUUGGGGGCAUUAGUAUUCAAUUGUCAGAGGUGAAAUUCUUGGAUUUAUUGAAGACUAACUACUGCGAAAGCAUUUGCCAAGGAUGUUUUCAUUAAUCAAGAACGAAAGUUAGGGGAUCGAAGACGAUCAGAUACCGUCGUAGUCUUAACCAUAAACUAUGCGACUAGGGAUCGG
rnacentral:rRNA from 1 species